GCGCCGGAACCGAGACUCAGUCUUCCGCUCUCCGCCUGCUGAUGGUGAUUUAACAGGCGAGUUCUUCCUCCUCCCGAUCCCCUGCUCCUCCCUGCCUCCCUUGCUCCAAUCUACACUGAUCCUCCCACCAAAACAGUCUCCUGCGCGCCAAAUCGAUCUCCCUUCGAUUUAAUCCUCAAAUCCCCAAUCCGGUUCAUCCCCAAUCGCCUCUCCAAACCCUAGGUAACUGAACCACCGCCGGCCCUCUUCCCUGCGAGAUGCCUUGGCCAUCCAAGAGGACCUCCGCACCGGCGCCAAUGGAGAUCCCGUCGCUUGGGGCUCAGUCCGUUCCUUCCCCAGGGGUUCAGUCCGUUCCUUCCCCAACGGGUGCUUGGUUGCCUCUGGUGCUUGGUUCCCCAACGGCGAAACAACAAUCCAUGGCACCCACCACCCCUUCCAUGUUUGCCUCUGUGCUGCUCCUGACUGGAUGGAAAUGCGUUGGCUGCUCUGCUCUACCAAGGAUCCAACCUUUAUUGUGCCUUUGUCGUCGUUUAGUCGUCGUUUAGAUCAUUAAUCAAUGGCUUGUAUGCCAGAAACCUUGUUUGGCUUCAUGUUUUAUUCAUAAGACUUCUGUAAUGCUUAAGUAUUGGUGUCAUGGUACCAUAUGCCAUCAGGUUAUGUGUGCAAUGUUUGUUUCAACAUAACCUGUUAUUAAGAAGUUAACGAACUAUGCUUUUGGUAUGGCUAGUGUGAGACUGGAUGAUCUUAUU